rfam:Stegodyphus mimosarum contig103279, whole genome shotgun sequence.
GCCUUCGUGGUGUAGUGGUCCGCACGCUCGGCGCGUAUUCGAGAAGUCCGUGGUUCGAGUCCCGGCGAGGGCA